rnacentral:rRNA from 1 species
CCGUUAAGUCUGNNNNNNGGGANGUACGUANGCAAGUAUGAAACUUAAAGGAAUUGGCGGGGGAGCACCACAAGGGGUGAAGCCUGCGGUUCAAUUGGAGUCAACGCCAGAAAUCUUACCUGGGGAGACAGCAGAAUGAAGGUCAAGCUGAAGACUUUACCAGACACGGUGAGAGGUGGUGCAUGGCCGUCGCCAGCUNGNNCCGUGAGAUGUCCUGUUAAGUCAGGUAACGAGCGAGACCCCUGCGUCUAGUUGCUACCAUUACUCUCUGGAGCAGUGGAGCGAAUUAGACGGACCGCCACAGUUAAUGUGGAGGAAGGAAGGGGCCACGGCAGGUCAGUAUGCCCCGAAACCCUAGGGCUACACGCGGGC